rnacentral:piRNA from 1 species
UAGCAGAAGGAAGCGGGAGGUCUUGGA